UCCUGACUGACCGAUAGUGAACCAGUACCGUGAGGGAAAGGCGAAAAGAACCCCGGCGAGGGGAGUGAAAAAGAACCUGAAACCGUGUACGUACAAGCAGUGGGAGCACGCUUAGGCGUGUGACUGCGUACCUUUUGUAUAAUGGGUCAGCGACUUAUAUUCUGUAGCAAGGUUAACCGAAUAGGGGAGCCGAAGGGAAACCGAGUCUUAACUGGGCGUUAAGUUGCAGGGUAUAGACCCGAAACCCGGUGAUCUAGCCAUGGGCAGGUUGAAGGUUGGGUAACACUAACUGGAGGACCGAACCGACUAAUGUUGAAAAAUUAGCGGAUGACUUGUGGCUGGGGGUGAAAGGCCAAUCAAACCGGGAGAUAGCUGGUUCUCCCCGAAAGCUAUUUAGGUAGCGCCUCGUGAAUUCAUCUCCGGGGGUAGAGCACUGUUUCGGCAAGGGGGUCAUCCCGACUUACCAACCCGAUGCAAACU
rnacentral:rRNA from 1 species